rnacentral:tRNA from 1 species
UGUCAAGGGAUGGGAAUCGAACCCACGACCUUCCGCUUACCGGGCAGAUGCCAUGACCGCUAGGCUACCCUGGAC